GAGUUUUGAUCCUGGCUCAGGAUGAACGCUAGCUACAGGCUUAACACAUGCAAGUCGGAGGGGCGAGCAUGGUCUUUAGCUUGCUAAGGCCGAUGGCGACCGGCGCACGGGUGAGUAACGCGUAUCCAACCUGCCUUACACUCUUGGACAGCCUUCUGAAAGGGAGAUUAAUACAAGAUGUUAUCAUGAGUAAGCAUUUUCGCAUGAUUAAAGGUUUACCGGUGUAAGAUGGGGAUGCGUUCCAUUAGAUAGUAGGCGGGGUAACGGCCCACCUAGUCUUCGAUGGAUAGGGGUUCUGAGAGGAAGGUCCCCCACAUUGGAACUGAGACACGGUCCAAACUCCUACGGGAGGCAGCA
rnacentral:rRNA from 1 species